AGUGAACGCUGGCGGUAGGCCUAACACAUGCAAGUCGAACGGCAGCACAGUAAGAGCUUGCUCUGGCGGGGGGCGAGUGGCGGACGGGUGGGGAAGACAACGGAAUCUACAUUGUCGGGGGGGAUUACGUAGGGAAACUUACGCUAAUACCGCAUACGACCUACGGGGGAAAGCAGUGAAUCUUCGCACCUGGCGCGAUACAAGGAGCAGAUGUCGGAUUAGCGCUUUGGGGGGGGAAAGCCCCACCACGGCGACGAUCCGUAGCGGGUCGGAGAGGUGGACCGGCCACACUGGAACUGGGAAACGGUCAAGACUCCUACGGGAGGCGGCAGUGGGGAAUAUUGGACAUUGGGGGCAAUCCUGACCCAGCCCGCCCGCGUGGGUGAAGAAGGUCUCGGGGCUGUAAGGCCCGUUUGUUGGGAAAGAAAAGCAGGAGGGUAAAACCCCGACGUUGUGACGGUACCCAAAGAGUAAGCACCGGCUAACUUCGUG
rnacentral:rRNA from 1 species